ACUGCUCAGUAACACGUGGAUAACCUGCCCUUAGGUCUGGCAUAACCCCGGGAAACUGGGGAUAAUUCCGGAUAGAUCAUGGAUGCUGGAAUGCACCGUGGUCGAAAGCUUUUGUGCCUAAGGAUGGGUCUGCGGUCUAUCAGGUUGUAGUGGGUGUAACGUACCUACUAGCCUACGACGGAUACGGGUUGUGGGAGCAAGAGCCCGGAGAUGGAUUCUGAGACAUGAAUCCAGGCCCUACGGGGCGCAGCAGGCGCGAAAACUUUACAAUGCGGGAAACCGCGAUAAGGGGACACCGAGUGCCAGCAUCCUAUGUUGGCUGUCCAUAUGUAUAAAUAACAUGUGUUAGCAAGGGCCGGGCAAGACCGGUGCCAGCCGCCGCGGUAACACCGGCGGCCCGAGUGGUGGCCACUAUUAUUGGGUCUAAAGGGUCCGUAGCCGGUUUGGUCAGUCUUCCGGGAAAUCUGACGGCUUAACCGUUAGGCUUUCGGGGGAUACUGCCAGGCUUGGGACCGGGAGAGGUAAGAGGUACUACGGGGGUAGGAGUGAAAUCUUGUAAUCCCUGUGGGACCACCAGUGGCGAAGGCGUCUUACCAGAACGGGUCCGACGGUGAGGGACGAAAGCUGGGGGCACGAACCGGAUUAGAUACCCGGGUAGUCCCAGCCGUAAACUAUGCUCGCUAGGUGUCAGGGACGGUGCGACCGUUUCUGGUGCCGUAGGGAAGCCGUGAAGCGAGCCACCUGGGAAGUACGGUCGCAAGGCUGAAACUUAAAGGAAUUGGCGGGGGAGCA
rnacentral:rRNA from 1 species